GAGGUGAAUCCGUCCUAGUGUUACCUUGUCACCGAGGCACACGUUAAAGAUUGUUCCAUGUUGUGAGUCUAACACCAGUUGUAAAAACAAAUACAACCGGUAGCGCUGGAUCCCUGGGCACGUCAUUCGAUGAAGACCGUUGCAAAUUGCGAUAAAGUGAUGUGAUGCGCAAGUCCACCACUUAUACGUGAAUCAUCGAGUUGUUGAACGCACUGCACCGCGCCCUAAUCCGGCUGCGGUAUGCCCCUUUGAGCGUCAUUGUAUCCCUUCGGGAGUCCUUUCUUAGACCCGAGUUUGGAGUCCUUGGUCUUUGGAUCAUGUUCUCUUAGAUGCGUCGCGCUGAUCGCCUGAUGGGUCACUCUAAUGCCUGAGCGUGGAGUCCCUCAGAGCUGAGAUGCGCUUGACCAAGUGUUGAGCUUGUGUCUCCAAGUCCACGUUCUUUUGGGACGUUGGUACUACAAUGCAUGACCUCAUUGGGGUAGGACAACCCGCUAGACUUAAGCAUAUUAAUCAGCGGAGGAAAAGAAACUAACCAGGAUUCCCCUAGUAACUGCGAGUGAAGCGGGAUCGGC
rnacentral:rRNA from 1 species